CCCCACAGGAUGCUUUGGUUGCACUUGUUUUUUAACUCCCCGGUAGGUCAGUUAUGCCGUGUCCCAGCUUCUUGCCAGAAGAUACUGCUUGAAGGGUUUUCUGAAGUGGAGAAGUCUGAGCCUGUAAUUAUUCACACCACAAGCUGCAUGGACAACUUCUCUGCCAUGUUUGUGCUGCUGAAUUCACUCUGGGACCAUAGAAAUGAGCCAAGCACACCAUGCCAGGGCAAAGCCAGGACUUCACCAUCCCCACUGUGGAAUUCAGCCCCUCUCUGGCAUGGUUUUCAUCCACUCCAGCAAGCCGAGGCUUGGGCACAGCUUGCACAGUCACUGAUACUGGCCAAAGACCAUCCCGAGUUGGCAGUGUGGAUGUGGCUAUGCUGUAUUGAGAUGAAAGAGUUUAGUAGUAUGGAUGUGGCCAGCACGGUUGUCUUUGAGGCCAGAAUGGAUCCUGGCAGUGUUUACUGUGCUAAUAAAGAUGUAUCUGUAUGCCACACAGCAGGAUUUGGGAUUCUGUGGAGUACAUCAGCUCUGGCCUGGCAUACUUCUGUUGUCUGCCCAGUUCGAUGGACAAAAUAUUUCUUAGUUCACUCUGGUUCUUUUUGCUGAGCUUAUUUUGCAAGCAGUGUCACUUACACUGGGCUAAUGUCAAUGCGUCCAUCUCUCCAUCCAUCUCAGAUGUCUGGCGCGCUCACUGUGGCAGUCUUACACAUCUGCAGGCAGUUGAUUUGGAGACUUGAGUGAUUCACACCAGACCAAGUCAGCAAUGGGCAUACAGGAGUUACAAGGUCCUUGUCCAUACCCUCGUGAUGCUGUGCCACCCACACAAGGAGUUUCUUACCCAAAGUACAUCUAGUUUGGACUGCAGAAGAGGAGCUGGUGUUCUGCAAUUGCCAGUGGAAAGUGCAAGCGAGCCGCCAAUUUCAAGAGUAAAUGUAUAUUUUGCAGUGUACUGGAUGGGAGCUAAAUGUCCACUUCAUCCUAUCCAUCUCUGCACCUGCCAAAAACUCAGUAGCCAUUUGCCUGUAUUUUCAUUUAGAGCUGACUAGAUUCAAUGGGACAAAAUGAAUUUCAGGCUUUAGUCAGUGUUCUGCUAAAACCCGUCUGGUGGUGCUGAUAGGAAGGUGUUGCUAUUGACUUUCAGAGAGCAAGAGACCCUUGCUCUUCAGCUGUAUUUUCCCAUACACAAGAUUCACUUCACAAUGUAUCCCUGCUCCUCAUCCCCACACAGAAUUGCAUGACCCGAGUCACCCACACCCCACAGCAUCACCAAACCUCCUGAAGAAAAUGUGGUCUGAGGUCCACCCAGCACGAUUUCAUUGAAGCUCAGAGGUGCUUUGAAAAGGAAAACUUACUACUGUGCAUUUGCAAAACCUUUUAGUGCCUGCUUGCUGGGCAGCUUGGGCAAGAGAUCAUUUGGAAGCUGCCAGAAUCAGUAAAAAACUGUAGGGACAGGCUUUUCUAGGAUCUUCUGUUACUGGGUUAGCUUCCGUCUGGAUUCUGUUCAGCUCCAAUGUGGUCACGCAAAGUAAAACAAACAACAAAACCCACACAAAAUAAGGUCUAUGCCAAUCCCCACAGAAGCCAAGGCUAGCUGGUAGGGACGACGUGAACUCAGUUGCUCACCCUUUGCUUGCUGCAGCUUGCAUGCUGUUACUUUGGCAGUUGUCUGCAGCCCUGGGCUUUGGGGAUGGUCGAUGCCCAGGGCUGUGAUUGCUGUUUUCAUUUUUCCUUGGAGCUCAGGUGUAUUCUGGUGCAGAGAAUCUCAGCCUGGUUUGAAUGGGAAGAUUGGAGGCUAUCCCAAAUAGACGUGGGCAAACCUUUCACUGUGUGCAGAGUGCAUUUCCAGACCUUUGGGUACCGCUUAUUUCUCCAUGAGCGCGUUCAGAAUCGCUUCCUUGUGUUUGAACCUGGAAAUAGCAGUGUGGUGGCUCUUUUCUGCUGCGGUGUGAUGUGGGGAAAGGGAGGACCCUUCUUUCUGAGCUGGAGAUUGCCUGUGUUCAACCCUUGUUCCUUACUUGAAGCUCAGGCUGUAGGAUAAUGAGAAAAAUGAGAAAGUGUGUUGAAAGAUAGCUGCAUAUGUCCCACUGGCUCUUCACUACCAAGGAGGGAGGCAAUCAGUGACAAUUAAAUCUGCAAAAUCUGAAAUGAACCUGCCAGUCUAGUUGUUGGCAGCCCUGCCCACGGCCAUGGGGCUGGAACUCGGUGAUCUUUAAGGUCCCCUCCAACCUAUGCUGCUCUGCGGUUCUAUGGAAACAAUCUGGACUUAAAUAUAAAUUCGGAUGUACACACAACCCCAUCGGAAUGAGCGAUGUUGGUAAAAUAAUGCAAUAUUUUCUUUCCUGUUGUAUAUUUUAAAAGAUGCAAACAAAAAUCCCCAAGCCACGGCAACAAGAAAGCACCGCGAGCAGACAGAAAUAAUUUGAGUGCACAGACUUCCCUCUCUCCCUCUUUGGGACAUGUGCAGCAAGGGAACUGUUGGGAAACCUGUUACGUGCGGAGUUACUCGUGUUUGGAUUUGUGAACAGCUGUGUUGGUCAGAUGGUUUUUUCCAGCAAGUGUAGCAACGGGCCGUGGUCGAAAGCUCAUUGCAGGUUUCAGGGUGAUGGGACUCCUGGGUUUCAGCCCCAGCUCUGCCACGACGUCGCUGUGUAACCUUGGGCAAGUGAUUUAACCUUUCUGUGCCUACAGUUUACCCAUCUGUAUACAUGGGUAUAAUAAUAUUUACCUACCUCACAGGGGUGUUGUGAGGCUUAAGCAAAUGCGUGCGGGAGGUGCUGGAAUCGCGCCAUAACGUUGUCGUUCUCCUGGGUUUGUGCUGUUACCAGGAAGGAGCAGUGAAGGGGUUGGUUACACCACACGGAAGGAGAUCCUGCCAGUCCAUGUGCGUGUCGAGAAAGUGAUCUUAAGUCUUUUCUCUCCCCAAAAGCAAGGAAUGGAGAAAACGGUUGUGUGCCAACUCAAUAGCCUUGCUUUCCCAGUCCAAGAUAAUAGCGCUGUUUGCAAUAUUGUUUUCUUACGCAGCAGGUGACCUUUCCCUUUUCCUUUCUGUUUCUGGAAACUUGAAACUAAAGAUCACAAAAGUAUUUCUGAACCGAACAGAUUACUGAUGAAUACUUGAAUUUCUUUAAAAGAUGCUCUCAUCAGCCACGGUUAAUGUGCACUAAUCUUUCAGUCAUCAGCAUCCAUCUGAAUACAGUGAAAAAUUUGCUCACGCUGUUUUGGAAUAGCCUGGACCUUGGUUGGGAGGCUGGUAUUCUGUUUGAGUCUUGUAGGCAUGGGAAACUGGAGUCUCAACUGAAAAACGUGAACAAUCUGUUAUUCUUUUUGCUUUUGCCUUUGGGUUUCUUGGCUGCCCAGGGACAGCACGAUAACUGCAGUUCACUUGGUCGUAUGGUAGCUUUUUUCACUGUUUCUUUCCACCGUGUGUGAAGGUGGGUUGUGCAAGGGGAAACCAGAGUCAGUGCUGCUCAUGUGCUUCUCUUCUCCAAGUACCUGCUUCCCCGCCAAAAACACAUCCAGAGAGACCAGACCAGGGCUGCCUUCACACCCAUCCCCAACCAAAGCUCCCCUCACCACCAGUGGGAGCUUUGGCUGUCGAUGAUGUGUCCUUCAAGGUGGAUUCAUCCCUGGUUUAACCCCAGAAUGCUCAGUGAAACCCACAGUGAUUCUCUCUAGACAAGGGGAGGGGUUUUUUCUGUUAUUUUACUAUUUUUUUUUUUAUUGUUUGAGUGUCCUGACCAUCCUGUAAUGUCUCUUUUUGCAAAUUCAGUGUGAGGCAAGACUGCCUGCUCCCUUCCAGCAGCGCUUUGUGAAGCCUGCUCACGCACUCCUUACUCGGGCAGAGCUCCUGGGUUUUGCUGUGGGAUCUUCCUUCCUCUCCUGAGUAAGGACUGAAAUCUGGGCAGCGUUUCAGCAAGCCGUCAUCUUCACUAACCCGAGGUUCGCCUUGCAUGAAACCAGAACAAAGCUGGGAAACCCUCCUCCACCUCCGCCUUAGUCUGCCGCGUCCCUCGCGUCCCAUCCCUGUUCCUGUGUGCCACCAUAGGGAGGUCGGUCGGAUCUUCUGGUUGCAUGGCCCAGUCUUUUCCACAUCACCAACCAUGUAGCAGCAGAUCCUCCCCCUAGGGUAGAGCACAUUCAAAAGCUCUCUUCUUGCAGAUGAGCCUCUUCCCAUGAGCAUCAGCUCUGGGGCUGCUCCUUCCCCCUUCGCCUCCUCCACCAUUUAUUUUCCCUGUUUGAAGCACUCAGCUCAGUGCUUCUGGGUUUUCUUUUUACUGCUUCUCUUCCAAAAAAAAAAAAAAAAACAACAAAAAAAAAGUUUGAAGCUGGAAAAAAACCAACACAGCAAUGUAACUCCUUCGGUGCUAUGCUAACUGCUUUGUUCUACCCAACCAAGUGCUGGCCAACGUACAGAUUGUCCCUCUUUGUCCUAAGAAGCACCACACAUCUGUGUCUUGAACAGGGAUGAACUGAGAGGGAUGAGAGAGGGCGAGUGCUGUUCGGAAAGCAAUGGAAGUCUUAUGUGUAUCUAGUAGAAAAAAAAAAGAAAAAACUAAAAAAAAGAUGUAAAUGCAGACUGCUUUCGUAGCUAAUUGUCAACCAACUUGUGGAACUAAGUAGGAUAUAGCCUAUAAGAUAUUGAGGGCAUUAUAUAUAUAUAUAUAUAUAUAUAUACACACACAUAUAUAAGAUAUGAUGAAAAGUUUACUUUUAUCAAUAAAUCACCCUUUAAUUUUCCUGAAAAUGCACUAUUCAAUAGUAAACAUAUCUGCCCGUGUUUGCAGACAGCUGAUUUGCUUCGAGCCACUCCAGCAGCAAUGGCUUUUCCAACUGCAGAGGUCAACAAGCAGGUGUUAGGUCUGAUUCGAAGUGGAUGGCUCAGAGUUUUGGGGAUUAAAGGGACUAGUCAUCGUGUAUGCCUGCCUCUAUAUACGCAGUGGAGAUAUAGACAAGCAUACAUGCCAUGUUACUGCAACAGUAUAUAUGUUUUAAUAUAUAUAUAUGAAUACAUUGUGAAUUCCUAAGGGCUUUUUAAGAUGAGGAAGGCAGUUUCUGGUGUGAGCUGCAAAGAAUUUGGGGAUUGAAGGUAGGGCUGUAAUAAGUAUUCCUAGCAUGUUAUUUUUUAAAGUCAAAAUAGGGAUAAACAGUCGUCAGAAGCUUAAGGUCCUUCUGGAGAAAUGCUGUACCACCUGAUUUUCCUUUCUUUAAGAAAGAUGGAAGCCAAAAUCAGACCAAAAGUUAGGGCCACACGCAGUGUCAGUAUAAAUCAGUAAAGCUCCACUGAUGUCCUCACAUUCCACGUCUCAAUAACAAUCUGGUGCCAGGGGAACCUAAACUGAGCAUUAUGGCCCCACUGGGCUUUCCUGAACCAGUGAUAAGAGACUUCCUGUUGUUGCUGAAACUCAGUCAAAAUCUUGGACAAAACCAAGUGUCUCUUUCCAAGCAGAGCCAUGUGAAUUUGGCAAACCCCUGACCCACACAGGGGCUUUCUCUGCCACCCAUACCAGUGAGAACAGCCCUGCUUACAGGGGCAGCACAGUGGGUUCUUCUUUUUGGGGACUGGACCCCAAAUCUAAUUUCAAGCCCUAUGGAUCUGAAUGCCAGCUGGUACCCGAAGGGAAUGAGAAUUGUUUUCUCUCCAGAUGUCAUUCCCGUCCAUCAAUCACAAGAACAAGGAGCUCAGAUUUUCCUAUUUUUGCCAAUAAAACCUGCUGCCAGUCCCAGAGUCCCCUCCCUCAAACCCAGCUACCACCACCUGCAUGUCUCCCCUUUCUUCCACCUUAAAAACAAAUGCUAUUCUUUCCCAAGUAGCAAAGAUCCAGGACAAAUGCCAGAUGAUUACACCUGCAAUCUGUUUGCUUUAGGAUUUUAUUUCAGUUUCAGAGGGCAUAUGAGUACACACAGAGACACAUGCCUGCAGAAAUUGCAGUAACCUGAAGUUGAGGCCACUUGACUUCAAUGGACUUGCUCUGAGCUGACACUGCUAAAAGAGAAACCACACACCAAGUGUUCCCCAGGCUCCCCCCAAAUUACUAACAGUUUCAUGCUGUUCCCAUAUAAUUUGUUUCUGUUUUUGUUUUUCAACAAAUACUGAAAACUGGUUAACAGCCAGUAAAUUUACGAUGGAUAAGUAGUAGGAAAAGUGUACUGGUUCUCACUUAUCCAUAGACCUCUUAGCACUACUCCAGCAAUUAAACAAGCCUUAAAUUGGAUGUGAUUGCUGCCAUUUGGAGGAGAGCUGUGAUCUAAAAAGGUAUCACAGCCAAAUCCGUUGGCCCUUUCUUCUCUACGUAGGGAGAGUGAGGAGGAAGAGAUUUUACAUCAAAUGUCGAAGUUUGCCAUUAGCUACAAAGUGUGCCCUUUAUCAGGAAAAAACAACAAUGGUUUUGUCUGGUGGUUCCACUCUGCAAACUCUUACCAUUCCAGCCUUUUGUUCCAGUGGGAAUGGGAAGUAGUUUCAAAAGCGUUUAAAUACUCAGGGAAGGACUAUUUCAAAUCUAGGUUUGGUCACUUCCAUUUGCAUCACUGGGCCAAGUUCAGAUCAUUCCGGUCAUUUCCCAUGGUGUGAAACCAGAGUGAGACAACAGCAGGGGUGGGACCCAUACAUGGUAUCCCAAUGGUAACCCAGUACGUGCAAUGUACUCCCAAUGGUGAUGUAGAUGGAGACCUGGUAUACCAUGUCCCAUCAUGCAGAAGGAUCUCCACCACGUCCCAGCCCCAGGAGCUGUUUCUCUAACAAUAAAAGUUUCACAGAUAGGCUAGAUUAUUUAUUUAUUUAUUUAUUUAUUUAUUUAUCUAUUUAUUCAUGAUUGCGAGGAAAUAUCAUCUCUUUAGCAUGUAUAUUUUUGGAUGGACUGUUGUAUAUAGAAAGUAAAAUCACAGUGCCUGAAGAUGUACGUUCUCUUUCCAUCUCUGCUGUGUGCUGUUGGAUAGGCAAACCAAGCUGUUAGGAAUGCCUCUGCUACCAAAUGCAACCUGCCCUGCCUAAACUCCCUGGUACCAUUGGCUUGUGUUCCUGGGGAGGUGAUAAGGGAAUAGUUGAUCUGUUGUCUGGAACCCAUCACCAACCCCAUCUCCAGCCCUGCAUCCAUGCUGUUCUUUCCCAAGGCACUGCAGCAUGGCUUUAAAGAUUCCUUUGUGCCCUACAGAAGUGUUGGGAAGACAAGAGUAGUGAAACACUUCUUGCAAAGCUCUUGAGCACCUUCUGAUUGAAUGGAAUUCUCUAAGUUGAUGGCAUCUUCUAAAAUCAGCUUUCAUCCAAGAGGGACUUCUGAUUAGUGAAUUUUGAUAGUACUGGAAAGUUGGCACAGCCGUAGGGAAUAGCACAAUUUAAAUGCUAAUAUUUCAGAAGUGUCACUUUUUCCAUAAAUAUUGAAAUUUGACCAAUCAUUGCUAGACCUCUUUGUUAACACUGAAAACCCAGAAAACAUUCUUGCACUGGAUUCCUCAGAAAAACCUGAUUCACUGAGCACAAAUUCCAAAAUCACCCCAAAAUGGUAAAGAGAAGCUGCUAAAGCAGGACACUUAUGUUCUUCCAAUGCACCUGCAAUGUGCUGUACCGUAACCAAUGAAUACUGCCCAUCCGCCUUGCAGUACGUGCAUUGGGACCCCAGCCAGGCUCAGUACCCCGUUGUGCUGAGCACUUUACCAAAACACAGAGGGACAUGGACUUGCCCCAGAAGAGCUUUUAGUUCCACUGUAGUUGUUUUUGUGACCUUGGACAAGUCGUAGAACUGCUCUCUGCCUCAGUUUGCCCAUCUCUAAAAUGGGAGUUAUGAAGCCUACCUCGCAAGGAUGAUGUGAGGAGUAUGUCAGUGACAGCAAAGUGCUUUAACAUCAGAAGUACUGUAGGACUGUAGCAUUCAUGGGCAAAGCAGGUGAAAGCAGUGUAGCAUGUCUCCUGGUCCCUGUCUUCACGCAGCCUGGUAGACACUGGUCUGAUUUGGCUGUUUCAAGAAGGACUAGCAAAAGCCAGACGAGAUGCCGUGCUAAGCUUAGGGUUAACACUUUCCUCCAUCCUUCAAAACGCUUCACUCUCCCAUAGGAAAACAGCCAUGGAAGUCAGUUGAGGAGCCAGGGAUUUCCUACAAUCAUCUUUGGGCAGGGAGUUAGAGAAAGCAGAGGUGGAAAGAGCACAUGGGUCAUCAGGUGCAUUCCCAAGAAUGCCUGUGCUGUGGGCAUCCUGUAUCUUACGCUCUCACCCUGAAUCCUGUCUGCAUGGAAAUAUUCCAAAGAAGGGCCUUGCUUACCCUAGACCCUCCUGAUCAGGCACAUUAAAUAGAACUUAUGGCCUAAGAUUUCCUAGUAAGAAGUCUAUUUUUUUGCGAACUAAGCUUGAAACUCAGUCUUGCCCAUGCCUUGAAUCUUGCCUUAUUAACCGAACUCAGUGCAUUCUGGACCCAGGUCAUCCAUCUGAAGUCAUUCUUCCAGUGCCGCUCUGAUCCUGUGGGGCUUAUGUCUGUCAUCAUGUUAGGAGCAAGGAUCUACCACUGAGAUCAGGAAAGGUUGGCUCCUUUCUAGGUCACUUCUGCAUGUGAGCCACCCUCUUGUCCUUAUUGGGGUCUAGACAGACUGGGCUCCAAAUCAGACCCCACAAAAAGAUCUGAAAGACCAAGGAAAAUUACUUCAAGUCCUGCCAUGGUGGCAUUUUAGCACCAUCCCUAGCUUCUGCCAGCAGGAUACAUUUGGGAGGCACGAAGACCCCCAGCAACCCCUGCUCUGAACUGGCUAAAGCAAGCAGACGAGGAUAGGCUUGGUCCUCUUGCAAUGCCACCGAGCUCGAUGGCUGUCCCCUUGAUUUGGUGCUGUGCCACUGAGAGCAGAGUCAGGCGGGCGUCAUCAUGAUGCAAACCUGGUGCUAUUAAUUUGGCAUAGAGUGCCUGCGAGUGUCUUCUUUUCUUGAUCACCAAGCAAUUAGUUUAUGCACAGGAAGCCCAAGGUUUAUGUACUGUCUGCUGUGACUUCUCAUUUCACAGGGGGGCUCUAAAGUAUUCUAUCUCGUUCCUCAACUCUUCCUCUAUGUCUGCAUCUUGGAGGGCAAGGUGUGCAUGUGUUGGUGCUUGAGUGUCAAUCCAUGAGCAAAAGUAACGGAGCAAGGGCCAACCGGAAAGUGCAUUGCAGGAGAGGAUUGAACUGAGUGUAGGAGAAGUGCGGGGUAAGCCCUGAGAAAACCAGACACGCAUUUGAUCUCUGUCUCCAUCUGACAGCACUUCUGUAAAUCUGUUGAGACUGUUGCCUAUGUCCGGGACAGUUUUGUCUCCGGGCUCCUGGGGAGUGACAGAUUGAGAUAUUCAGGGCAGGGUUGUGUGGAGGGAUGAGAUCAGACUCUCUGAGCGCAUCCAGCACGUCCCAGGAGGCAGCCCACGUCAGACUGUGCCCUGAUCAUCUUUGAUCGAGCUUUGAGCUCUAAAUCCUGCUUCCCUUACAUCGGCGCAAGUAUCUUGAACUUGGCAAGAUGUGGUCUUUUUAAUUUAGGAAGGCUGUUUUAAAAGUGCCCGAAAUGCUAGAAAAGAGCUCCUUAAGAAGACCAAAUUCUGGUCCCCAUUUCACUGUAUGAACCCUGUAUGAAUUUUUUAAUGGAACAGCCUGUUUUUUUUUUUUUUUUUUUUUUGCCAUCAGCAAGACCAGACGUUGGCCUGGCCCCACCUGCCCUGAUUAACUCCCAAAGCCCUUUAUUUGUUGACGCCAGUGACGUUAGGGCAGCAAUGUUUCCAUUCUCCAGACCUUGUGGUGCCUUUUCUUGUGGUGCUUACCCUUUGCAGGACUCCAGUCAAGGCAACCACUCGCAUCAAACAGCAACGCCAGUACUUCUCCUCUAGAUUAUGUGCCACUGCAGUAACAGAAUUUAAUGUAUACAUAUAUAAAUACAGAUAGAUAGAUAUAAAUAUUACUAUAGUUAUAAUUAUAUAUAUAUAAUUGAGGUUCUGAUGCCGCUGUGAAGGGAACGGAUCGUUCCUCUGCAGGAUUACACUGGGUGAAACCAACAGCUCAAUAUCUCGUAAAGGCUUGCAGCCUUGGCAAGGAGAUUCUCUCCCAUGCGUUCGUUCUCACAUCACCCAUUUCUCCUCAACACAACAACAAUUUCCAAAGCAUUUCUCCAAAUUCUGGGGCAGAUGAUGCCACGUGGCAACAUUGUCCUCCUGCCAUGGGAUGGGUGGAUGUCACCUUGCCAUGAAGGGAGGAUGAUGGGGCCAAUGGGAUGGCAUCCCCAGAUGGUGGCUUUAUUGUUUCCUUUGCACCAAGGGGAUGCAACCCAACAUAUUGCAGUUGGUGUUUUCUCCGCUAGCCAACCACCCUGCCCGCCAGCAAGCAUUCCUAUCUCAUCUUCCCAAUCGUCUUUCCAAUGCGCUCACUUCAUUUUUUUCCCAUUGGGAUGCUCGGUUUCCCACGCUGGGGAGGAGGGAAGCUGGCGAACGUGGUUUGCUUUACUCAUGCCAGUAGUUCUGCCUGACUCCAGGGGGCAAUUUUUUUUGUCUGGACUGCUGGGUUGGGUCAAUCGUCCCCUUGUCGUUAUCUAUCAUAUUGCUGAACCUAUGGGCUCAUUUCGAAUAGGACAGAUGUUGAGUGAAGGUAUUUUCUACUAAAGGGAACAACACCAAUAAUACUGUAAAAGGUGCUAGAAUCAAACCUCAUUUUAUAUACUUUGGUUCUUAGAGAAAAAUAAAUAUACACAGAAUUCUUCCUGUGCAGCCUUACUGUAGAUUGUUAUAACCAACUCUUUAAUCCAAAAAAAACCUAAAAAAAAAAAAGAAAAAAAAAAGAAAAGGUUAAAAAAGGACAAAAAUGAAGCGAUCCUGUAUAAAGUGUAACAAAUAUGACUUUCCCAUAUAAAUGUAAAUGAUCAGACAUAUAUUAAAAUGCACUCGAGGCAGGCGGCAAGCAUGGAAAGCUUUUGUAGCACCCUUUUUUAUGCACAACAGCUGUCUUUUUUCAUUUGGCUGGUGCAAGAGGGAAUGUGCUGAGGCACUUCUAUUUCCUUUUAAUUCUGUGCAUGAUUUUUUGGGAGAAGGAAAGAGGAAUGGGAAGGAGGAGGGUGGUUUAUCUAGCAAGCAAGCCUGGAAUAUUCAUCUCUUUAUUUCCUUUUUUUUUUUUUUUUUUUGGCUAGUUUAUGACUAUGUUUGGACUCCAUUUCUCAAAUGCUUUUUAGAGCUUUGCUGCCUGCCCCAGGUGCUCAGUGUAACUCUUACCUCAAGAAUGCUUACAAAAAAAAAAAAAAAAAAAGUCAAUUGUUUCUUCUUUUCCCGUGUCUGGAAAAUUCAAACAAACAGAUGACAUCAAUGACAACAAUACAAGUGAAAACACGAACAACCAGCAGUGAAUGGAGUAAUGAGAAAUAAAAAAGAAAGAAGUCAAAGCAGAGGUUUGGUGAUCAAACCGAGCCAUUCUGGUGCUUUUCCCCUUUUUAUGUUGCUAAUGAUCAAAAUUACAUGAGAUGGGCUAGGACAAGUUUGUGGUCUUAGGCUGUAGCAAAAAAAAAAAAAAAAUGUAUCUAAAAGAAUACAAAUUUGCAUGGAAAAAAACUCUGAUGGAGCAUUUAAAGAAUGGCUGUUUCGAUGUCAGACGUUUAAUGUUAGCAUGUGUGUGUGCUGUAUAUACCUUUUCAUGUGUGACAUGUACAGUUGACUGAGGAAAAAAAAACAUAUGGAACCGAACAAAAAAUAAUAAUCAAAUGCUAUUUUAUCAGAUGAUGCACUUUUUCACCUUGAUGAGAAGCCACUGUUCACAACUAUGCAAUCUUCCAGUUUCUCUCUCUAUCUCUUCUCUCCAACCUCAAAUUUCCCAACUAUUUUCCAUAACCUAAACCGUUUUUUCUUUCGUACAAAGAAACACAAAAAGUUCCAAACUCUGGUUCAAGGUGAGAGUGCUACUGUGACUUUUCUCAAGCGAUAAGAGCUAACAAACAGACAAACACAAGGGGUUUGGUUUGGUUUUGUUUUUAAGAAAAAAGGAGGUUCAGGCAUGACCCUUUUAAUGUUUUCUAAAUGAAUUGAUGUUUUCUACAUGUGCCAGGCUUCUGUUGACUGUUUUUUGUGUUUGGUUUCAUUUCUUGAUUCACGAUGUUCACUCUCUUGGGUUUUAGGAUUUAUUUAUUGAUUGAUUUUCUUCUGUAUUUAUUUUCUCUCUUUUUUUUUUUUUUUAAGUCUGGUUUUGUAUUGUAGGUAUUGGGGAUGUGAAGAUGAAGGUGAAAUUUGGCUUAACUUCAAGUGUUUUAGUACAUGUGUGUGCUAUAUGUAUAUAGUUUUCUACAUAGAAAAUUUUACACGCUUUUUAACGCACUUUACGACAUGUAUGUACAAAGUUGUCUAUAUAGAAAAAGUAGUGAGUUAUCUGACCUUCAAAGAAGAGAGUUUUGAUUAAGAGGAGUUCAGAUAUUUGAGUAUCUCAUGUGCGCGUGUGUGUGUAUUAUAUAGUAUAUUAUAUAUUACAGAAAUAUAUAAUAGUGUAUGUCCAUGUUAGGGUGUGUAUAAUAGGUACGCACAUCCAAACACAUGAUCAUGCCCACCUAUACCAUAAAAGUAGAGGUUUUCAAUUAAGGUUUUCAAGCUAUGAUAAAUAGCCUGGCUCUAUUCAGUAAAUUUCUUCCCUAUCCUUUGAUGAAAGGUAUAAAGUUAUCCUCCUUUGUUGUCCCCAGUACACUGUCCCCUUGCCAUGGGAGAAAUGUGUGUAUAGAUUUAGGAGGAGUUUGCCUUUAUAGCCUUUCUUUUCCCACCUUGGUUUACCAGUGGAUGUAGAGGAAGAGAAAACAGGUCAUCUAGCCAGUGAUGAGCUCAGGAAACCAUGACCACCAGAUGGGGCUGCCAUGUCCCCUGCCACCAAUUCACCAUGCCACCUAGAGCAACAUCUUUCCCACUUCUCUGUGCCUGUCAGAUUGGGGUUGCCGAUUCUUUCCAAGCCUUUAAGCACUUUGCACUCAUGGUCCUUCUCUGCCAGUACCACAGGGUUCCCCUCAACACCAGUUGGAGGUGAUUCGGGCCAGUUUACAGUGAGAUCUUCACAGUCUUACCCUUGUCCUCUAGCUCUCUUCUGUUCAUGAAGCCCACCCCUGCCUUGCUGGUGCAUGCUUUGACCUUCAUCAUCUCACCAUUAGGUUUUAAAUGAACACCUGUGUGCUUCUCCUUCUUUCCACUUGAGGCUUCCCAGUCCUUGACAGCCAUGUCGCACCAUGCUGAAGUAAUUCCAAGCCCACUUUUGCCCCACAUCCUACAUGUGGACUUCAUGUUUUUUGGGGCAGGGCACAUGAAGCCCCAUUUCUGAUUUCACUGCCCAUUGGACACCUGAUUUAGUAAAGCUCUUCCACACAACCAAAGGACAGCUAGGCUGUUAUUAUACUCAGCUCUAGAUAUAGAAAGGGCCCUUAUUGGAGCCAGCAAAAGUGGGAAGGACAAGGGAAUGGGUUUGUGGCAUCUCUUCCAUUUGUCAGUGAGAAUACAAGUGUCCACACCAGUCUGUAGUAGCAUGGAUGUCCUUUCAGGCCAUCUUUCAUGUUCUAUUUCUAAACAAGAACGUCCUAUCAUCCUUCCUACCGAAGUUAAACCCACAAUUAUCUGGAAACAGAUAUGCAAAAGCUGGGGACAGUCUUCCCGUCUUGCACAGUGUCAUGGCUUAGCAGCCCUUGUCAGUCAGCUGGUUGAGCUGUAGAGCCAGGUGGGUCUGCAAACCUACUGUGAUUGCUUCUUGUAACUCAGUUCUCUAGAAAACAGCAUUCAUACCUAAAUUAAUUUGUCAUAGGACACCUCACCCAGCCUUAGAUGUUACACAUUGUCUAUAUAACAGUAUUGUAUGUAGUGCAGCUGUAUUGUCUCAAGUGUCUACUUCUCCACUCUUUGCAGGCUCUUCUACCUAAUGGCAAGUUUUAGGCUGUGGCUGAUGUUUGCAAGGAGUUAUAGCUGUCCCUUGGACUUGCUGUUAGGAUGCUGGGAUCUGUGUGAAUGAUUAAUCCCUCUCACAAAUCAAAGACAGUCUUUUUUUCCCCUGAGUGACUUGAAGGCAGAACACUUAAUUUCCUUCCCUGAAAAUACAAUGCUGAGAGGUGCCCAUCUAAAAGUGAGGCCAAGAGGAAUCAUUUUCUGCCCCACUUAGCGGUUUGUAGUAAAGCCUUAAGAAAAGAAAAUAAAAGAAGGUAGUUUUCUAAUUGCUAGAUUCAACAAGUGGAGGAGCAUAGAGGUCAAGUUUGACUCAAUCCAUAGCCAUGCAGACAAAGUCUUUUAUCUUCACACAUUCCAGUUUCUUAAGACAGUAAGUGGGAAAGGCUUCUCCCUUCAAUGGCUCAUCCAGAAAAUCUGCAAGGGAAAUAAAUACCUGGAAGACACUCGGUGAUAUAUUCUUCCUUUCCAGGCUAUUCAGAGCCUUCAAAACAAUGCAGUGAACCCAUUGGAGCUAAAAUAAAAGUAGACCCAUGUUUCCAUUCAAAAUGGCUUUUAGUGAAAUGGAAAAUAAAAAAGAGUGCUGGCAAAGAGCAGGAGAGGUUUGCCUUGUGGACAAGUAUAAAGCCACUUGCAGCUUUCUUACCCUAAGAGGGAGUAUAUUUCUUGUUCCCUUGAUCGGAGAUGCUUGUUCAAAGUUCUUUGCCUUCUGGCUCUGUGUGUAUGGGGUGGACGUCCUCUAAUUUAGCAAGAAAAGUUGGAUAUCCAGUGAGUUAUCAUGAUUCCUUCCGUAUUCAGGACACCUCCAGGUAGAGAUUUCUCCCACUUGGUUUCCAAUUUAGAUCAGUUGUGUGCCCUUUAGCUGGUUACAUUUGGGUGAAUUGAAUCCCACCUGAAGUGGACAGAAUUCUCCACACUUCCAAACUAUUUCCCACCAUGUCUUGCCAUCAGGCUGCUUCUCUAUUUGCUCAGCCAACAAACAUUCAAAGUUAUCUCCUUCAGCAUAGCUCCAUGCUUGCACAACAUCCCCUGCCAAAGGGAAGCAUCGACAUUAGGCAGUCAGACUGAAGAAAAUCAGGCUGCAAUUCAGAGUUGGACUCACUGAAGAAGGGGGAGAAGUUAUCACUUUCUGUGACAGUCUGCUGAUCACUGUAAGGGUUCACAAAAAACCUUGAAAAUUAAUACACAAGGAAUAACCUUCCAUUUGUUUUCCUACAGGGUAAGGUCAUUCUUUGUCUAGAUGAAAAGCAAAAGGGAAAAAAUUGAGCUACAGCAAGGACUUGUUCAAAUACAGAGAGCUGGUAGCAAUCACAUUGGCUUCUUCAUCUCAUUAGCAAUCUGUUCUGGUCAAUUUUCCUCAUUUUCUUUAACUCAAGCACCAUGUUGUAAAUAUCAGAUUGCAACCAUUUACAGAACUGCUGGGGAAUCAUGCUCCUUCCAGGGUGCUACUUCCUAACUUCGCAGAAGUUUAGAAGGUAUGUUUGAGCAGCAGCAAGUGGGUUGUCUUGUCUGAAUCUUUAAGCGUUUUUGUCUUUGUUUCACAUUGAGCACCUAAGCUCCUUCCAUCCUGGGAUAUGUGGGUGCCAUGUCCUUUCUUUGCUGCACAUACCGCUUGGAUGUGACCGGUCCAGUGGCCUGAAGAAGAGCCUUCACCAACCGUCCCAUGCUCAGCUACUCUUGUUGGGAACAUGCUCAACCACUCUUGUUGGGAAUGUUUACCAGUAUCCAGCCUGCUUCCCACUGCUGUAAUUAAACCAGCUGCUUCUCAUCUUCAUAUCCUUUCUGCUAUAGAAGUACCACCUACACACCGUCCUGGAUUGAUAGAGUAAAUAUAGAAGCCAGUAAGCCUAACCCUAUUCCAAAUGCCUCCCCUGAGCUUUGUGAUGAGAGUUAAGAGCCCCAGUCAUCCAGGUGCCUUAGCAAGUCUCCUUGUAGGAGUGCUGACCAUGCAGCCAGAUCCCACCAGCUACCCACACUGGUCACCCCAGAGCCCGAUCACUUCAGUGGUGCCGUCUUCCUUGCCACGUAGCUGCUGUUGCCUGAAAAGUGCAACAGAAUCCAUCAAGGGGCUGCCCUUCUGCUGAAGCCUUCUUUUGUUGGCCACUGUCAACAAGUCCGAGCUAAUAUUUGCAAGCAUGUGUUGGUGAAUGUAGCCUCAAUCAUUCCCAGGGUGUGCUGCUUCCCCUUGGCCACCAGAAGAGAGGGGAAACGGCUUAUCUUUCUUUCACUUAGUGCCAGUAGAUUCCCUGAAGAGUUCUCCCUCUUUGUGUUCAUGCACUACGAGUACCCCUAGAACACAGGCUAUUUCUCAGAGCUGCUUUAUCAAUGCUGAACAUCAUAUUUUUUUUUCCCUUGAAGAUGACUAGUUUGUAGAGAAUGCUUCUGAUUUACUUCUGCCUUUCCCCCAGCUUUCCAACGGCAUUGUCUCUAAGUGGACUGUAAUACUGGUAUCAAUGUUAGUAGGACCCAUUGAUCAAGUAAUCAAAGCUCACUGCUGUGUUGGAUAUACAUAUGUUAGUGACAGUUGCGUUAAGCCAAAUUUAGCAGCUGGAUUCUUCAACAUCCCUUUGUUUUGUAUCUACCUCACUAUGAUUUCUUUGAUUUCUUGUGAUUUAGUGUUGUAUACAAUGUCAGAGGUGAUAUGUAGAUAAAAAUAUAUAUAUAUAUAUAAAAAUAUAUAUUUUUUGCUUUGCAAUAAAGCUCAAAGCUAUAACACUGAAUAUUCAUAAAAUGUCAUAAUCUUUAUUGUGAUGUUCCCAUUUUAGUUGUAAAAUCCUGUCUGGAUCCUAUUUUCCUGUACACUAGAAUCAAUAUUGUGUUCACGAGUGAAUGAUUAUUAUUUCUGUUACUUUUCCACUUAAGCGAUAUUUUUGAGAUGUGAGAUAGACACCAGAAUUGUCAAAACAUGAAUUGGUUUAUGUGUUUUUUCCCCUUAUAUAGCCUGCAUGUAACUGGAAUCAAACAGUGACAUUGAAAGAAAAUGAUUUGCAGUCCUGAUCUUUCAAUUUUGGCUUGUCUGAUCAUAGCACUGAAUUUGGCAGGGAGUGGAAGCAAAAAUAGAGUCACUAUUAGGGUGAGCAUAGGAAGAAAUGAAGAAAAGAUAUUCAUCACAAUUUGGCUGCAGAGAGGAUUCGUUCUUUGAAAUAACUGAAAUGAAAUGUGGCACAUCUCUGAUGAUGGAGACCACAGUCAUCGAGCUUAAUUCCAGGCAGUGAAAAGUUAGCUGUGUGCCUCAUGGCGGUCCCUGGACCAGAGGCACACAUCCAGCUCUUUCCUAUUGAAAUGGAGAGAGACAAAAAGUUCCCUAGGGUUCUUCACACCUAAGACACUUGUCUAGGAUAUGUGGGAUACAGCUCCUUCAGGAUGGGAGUAUCUCCCUUUCUCUGUGGAUAGAGCAGAGAAGAUGAGUUCAUGUUAGAUACCUCAGCUCUCUGGGCUAAAAUCAAGUUCAGUGACUCCCAUCAUAAUUGCACAAAGGUCAUCCUGGCUAAUGAAAACUGUCUCAAUAUUAUGGUCAUGUGCAUUAUUCUGAACCAGAUGAUACCUUGUGCUCUGUCAGUGGAAGGGAUGAGGAAGGUGGGAGCUCCUGCCCUCUUGGCAAAGUGGGAAAAUAGGACUUUACCUAUUGGUCCUAUGCUCCUGUGGUGGAUAAGAUCCUUAGACCCAGGGACUAUCCAUCAGUACCAAAAAUGACAAACAUCUGGCACAGAAAUGCUGGCUGAGUCCUAUAGAAGGUAGAUGAGUGUCAGGGGGGACUGCUGAGAAGGACACUGCUCCCAUAGGCUGGAAUUAGGGGGAAAAAAUACAUUGAGCCCAAACGCUGGCACUCUUUGCUUGAGUAGAGAAUAUUUCCACGGAUCUCAUGCAUUGUCUUCACUGGGAGCAGAAUGAGGUGAAUCCUCUCCAUUUCCCUUCCACCAGACUGUAGGGAAAGGAACAUUUUCCUUCACUGCUUUGUCAAAAAAAAAAAAAAAAAAAAAAAAAGUAAUGACCAGAAAGAAUCAGACACAAAUGGAAUCUGACAUAUUCUUUAAAAGUAAGGAGAAAAAACACUACUGAACUUAAAUCCAGUUAUUCCAUAGGGGGAAAAGCAAAAAGAAAAAGAAAAUAAAGAUGCAAGAAAUGAAACCCAAAUGUGUGCGAAUCAAAUCAAAAGGGAGGAAACGUUUUUGGGUUUCACCUAAAGCACGUGACAGGACUGCAAAAUGCAUCAUUUAGAGUGGGUUUCACAAGACCUCUUCUGUGUUGUCUUCUCUCCAAAAUUUGCACAAUUGUUCAGUACUAACAGCAGUUUUUUUCCUCAUUCUGAUCUGGUGUCUGUACAAAUCUGGCUUGGGUUUUUGGUUUGUUUUUCUUAUUGUUGUUGCCUGUUCCCAGCUAUUUCUAUUUUUGCGGUGUAGUAUUUUGUCUAUAUGGAAUGAAAUGCAGAUGUGUUCAUGAAAUUGUAUAGCAGACGGAAUUACAGGUUGGAGUUGAUUUGGAAAAGAAAAACAAACUAACAAUGCGAAGAGAAAUAUCUAUAUGAAAAGUAUGCUUCCAAAGUGUGUGUUUGAAUUUGAGCAUUUUGUCAUUUUACUGAGCUUUUUGAAAGGCUUAUUUUGAAAUAAUGAGACUUUAUGACGGUUGGGGUUUUUGAAUACCAAAAAAGCACAAUUAUCGUUAAAACAUUAUCAUUUUUAUUACUUUAUUUCACUCUUUGCCUAUCUGGGCAUUAUGAUCCCCAAAUUUUGUCAUGAAAUAUAUAAUCCUUUAUACCUGCUCAUUAGUCAUCUUUCAUUAGGCAAAAGGGAGAGAUGCAGCUGUUUCAUUUCUGCUCUGAAACCACGCAGAAUUCCUGGUCUGAUUUGGUUUUUAUUUGCUUUAAAAAUAGGGUUGAAUUUUUUACUUUGUGGUUAUUCUCUUUGAUGCUUACCGUAAAGACAACAAGGUCUUCCUUUAACUGAGUGGCAAAGAAUCUAUGCGGUAUAUGCAAGAGACAGCCUUGAUUUUGCCACAUCUGCAGCGAACGGUGGUUUGUGAAGGACUGGGUCAUGCAAAGCAUUUGUGGAUCUGAUUUGGUCAUGCUGAUAAAGAGGGCAGGCUUAUCUGUGAUGCAUUCCUCAGCUGUAGGGGGAGGAGCUGAAUUAAUGCAGGUGGCUGAGUAAUGGUAGUUUGGUCCUCAGAUGUUCAGAGUUGGUUGGCUGGAGAAGUCAUUCAUUGCUUUGACUGAAUAGAGCCUAUAUUUGCUUUCCUUAUUCUCAUAGAUAUUUCCACUGAUGCUAAUGGGUUGCCUUUGGUUUCGGUCAUAGAAACAUUUUCUUGUUAAGUCUACUUGUUGUGUUGUUAGUGUGGUUGUAUCGGAAUAAUUUGCUAAUGUUGAAUUUCAGCUUUUAUGUUCUUCUCUGGCGUUGACUGUGCUUUACUGAGAAGCUCUGCGUCCCUUCCAGCAUAUACAAUAGCUCUACUCAUUUCCAGGUUGUAAGAUCUUUCGUUACUGUAGAGGUGCUGUUUAUUUUGGUGGCUGUAUCAUGAGCAAUAUCUAGCUUUGGUGAAGCUGACUCAACAUUUAUCCUGGGAUGGAGGAGCAGCACGCGUUGAUGGGGAGGGUGUUCUGUUUGAAUAGGAGUCUCCUCUCUGUUGACUGUUGUAUGACAGAUGACUUAUAAUGUGUAGAUGUAAGAGCAUUGGAAAUGUCUUCUGCUAAAAACUGGAUCUGAGCAAAGACUGAGUAGGUUCUGGGGAUGGAGCCCUUAAGCCAAGUCUCACUGGAUUUGGGUUUUCAUCUGGAACCACCAGUAUAUUCCAAAAGGCAGGUGAGGUUGGAAAAAUUGGUGCUUGCAUGGGUUGUGUUUGGAACAGAGGUGACAGAGGGUAAUCUCGUGUUGUGCAGCAGACUCAUUGUUGGCAGCAGUGUAUCAUCAGAGGAUAAGGGAGGCCUGGCAGGUUACAUUACUGCAUGGUGACCUUGCCCUUGUGGAGGCCUCUCUGGGUGACCAAUUGUUUCUGUCUUCAACAGAAGACAUAUCUGUUGUCUUUUGAGGCUGCAAACAAAGCCAUGUGACUUCACUUUCAUUCCUGGGUCACCGGGGUAUUUCUGAGAGCACCAGUAAUGUUUCUGAAACAGGUUGUUCCCCAUGGGAUAGUUAGCAUUGAGCCCUCACCCUGAAAUAGGCAGAAAAGGCAGCUGUGAGGCCUGAGCAAGAAAGGCCUGAUCUGGGGCGCUACCCAGCAAACAAACUCAAUGGACUUGAUUCUUUUAAAGCAGCUUUUAUACCGUGGGUUUGAGAAGUUAGAUAACACCUGAGUCAAUUAGUGUCCCUGAAAGAGGCUGUGUCUUACACAGAAGUGCACAGAAGGCAGUGUGCAUGUGAAUGCACCAUGAGCGUGGUGGUAGGCCUCGUCCACCAGAGGAAGAGGUUCAGACCUUUAAUGGGGUCUAAGAGCACAGAGCCAGGAAGAUUUGAGCCUUGUUUCCAUGCUGAGAGCUGCAGAAGGUUUUUAGUUCCUGAAAUGGCAAAGAAAUAAGAGCGGCUUCUUUCGAGAACAUGAGGUCCAGGCCACUCUGAAGGUAGCCAGGAGUUAAACUGACCUGAGAUCAGGGGCUGAGACCCUCUAUGCAACAGAGAGGUGUCAGUGGCUGGGAUUCUGUUGUAUUCUUUCUGUGAUCUCCUGAGACUUGGAGCCACAGAGCCCUUGGAGGCUCAGGUCAAGACAGGAUGGAUGGCAGCAGGGGGGGGAUGUGCCCAUGCUAUUCAGAAGCAGAUUUGCGUCCUGGUGUGAUGUCAAAUGUGUUCUGAGAAACUGUGUUCUGAAUGCCUCUGGAUUUCUCUGUGGCCAGGCAUUAGGCCAUAGCCAGACUCAUGAGCUGAAGGAGAGACCAGUGUGCCAUUAAAACAUUCCACAAAAGAUACAGGAGCUUAAAUAUGCAGAAAAAAAUGCCCACUGAAAUCCUUCUCUGAAGUAUGCAAAGGAAGGUAGGGAUGUGAGUUAGGGGAUAGUAAAACUUUACUUACUACAGCCCAUCCACUUGUCAGGAAAGGUGAUUUUUUUCAAAUGAGCAGUGAAUCAUCUUAGACUAAUUCUGUUUGGGUCUGGAAACACGAAGUAGUUGCACCAUCCUUCCUACAGUCCUGCAUGAUUGGCUCAGCUUUGGCUGGGGGCAGCGAGCUUUGUCUCAGGCUAUCCUCUACCUGAGGAGUUAGCAGGGGGAGCUGGAAACAACAGGCAUUUUGGUUGUGGGCAGCUGGUUUUGGAGGUUAAGGGACUGCCACUGGGAAAAGGAUUGGGGCCUGGCACCAUUUUGUUUUUAUGGAUACAGUCAACAUAGCCUUUGCCAGAUGCCGGUUAAAUGGUGCAGCAUAGUCAAAUGGAGGUAAUAGAACAGACUAGACCUACAACCAAGUCUGUGCUUAAUGAGAGAGACAAGGUUUGAGGGAGAGAUCCUAUCUUUUACUAGAAAUAUAUAUUUUUUAUUAUUAAAACACCUCCCCCUUUAAACCAUGCCUCUUGCAUUACCUUAAACUAUGCCAACUACCAUAACACAUUUAGGACAUCUUUAGAAAUGCUUUGCAAUGGAUUUUGUCUCAGUACUGUCAUUCCAGUGUUAACAAACUUCUGUGGCCCUUCUGGUCAUGCAACCUUUUCAUAUCCCAGGGUACAUACCAAAGCAAGAGACUUCAACUUUGCAAGGUGCCAAAGGUUGCUUAUUAUGUCCAAAAAUACCAUCUCUGCUUUCCGUGUGAGCUGAGGGGAUCAGUACGUUCCAGGAAGAGCCUGGAAUUUUUUUGCUCCAUGCCUUUCUUUUGUUGUCCUGCCAACAGAGCCUCAAGGACAGCAUAUGGCCUUGCUAUACUUGCUUUUUCUUAAAAAAAUAGAAAAUAAUAAGACACCAGAGUACCGCAUGAGUUUUAAUAGUGUAAAAUGAGCUGAGUCUACUUCCCUCAGACAAAAAAUCAGAAUGCAGAAUUCAUCAGUUUUAUGGCUGGCUGCAUGUUCCUGCAAUAAUUCCUUAUUUUCCAGGCUUGAGGAAUGAUCACUUUCCCCCACUUCCAGGCUGAUUUAAAAUAUCAUUCUCUCCUAAAAUAAUUCCCUCUGCUCUGAUGCUUACAAGUAACUCAGCCCUGGGCUUCCUCAAAACUCAUUGCCAGGAGCGCUGAAAGAAUUUGCAUCAAGUGGCCCAUUUCCCUCAAUGCUGGAUCAUGUAAGGUACAAGGAGGAGAAUUUUGCCUGUGGCAGAAUUUAUGUAAGCAGUGGAGUACGCAUCUCUGUUAGCCUGUAGUAUCUCUUGACUUAAAAACUCACCCUUUACAGAUGGGGAGGUGGAACAUCAGCAUCUUGAAGAUCCCCUUUUUAAUGUUCUGAAGCAGUUGGGAGUUUCAGGACAGACUUUUUUAGGACCAUUUUGCUGGGCUUGGUUUUCAGAGCAAUGUGAAGAGUUACAGCUGUGCAGGUAGAGCGGGUGAAUGUAGAAAUGUGCUAAAACCAACGCUACAAGGUGGAAUCCAGGGCAGAGAAACCUCAGAUCUACAAAGGUCCUAUGAACUUCAUCUCUUCAUGACACCUUCCUCUGCAGUUUCUGGAGAGACAUUCACAGAUUGAGGACUAGUAGUGGAUCAGAGGCUCUUCUCCCCUUAAACCUCCCAGGGAAGAGGUGAAGUUGGAGUUGUUCUGCACUGUGAGCCCUGGGGAAGUUUUUGUCACAUCAGCUCGGGUUAGAUUCAGUGGAACAAAUGACUGCCCAGCUUUUUGGAUUGCAAGCAUUUGUUUGCUCCAUCCCAUCCUGCAUUCAGCACAUUGGGUGCUUUUGCAUUAUUACUGUUUUCUGUAAAUUGAGAACUUUUUUACUGGAGGAAAAAAGACGCAUUUGUCUCUUCUUAUACCAUGACACAAUCAGCACUGGUAUAAACCAGACUCAUUUCAAAUAGAGACUGCCAGUCAGUUCUAGGUAGUUCAAGCAGCAGACCUCAUCCCUAGCACUGUGCUGGAGUAGUACAGUUCUUUGCUCAGUACAAGAACUGCCUGAUUUGCAUGAAGAAAAAGUCAUCUGAAAUGAAUCUGGUCUUAAAAAUUAAACCAAACUGCAUCAGUUUUCAAAGCGGAGAAUUUCAAGCCAGUGCGGGAAAGAGAGGUUGGCACCAGUGAGAAAUACAGGUGAAUGUGAAUAAGGUUAGAGCAGUUAUCUCUGCAGUGCUGAUAUACAGCAAUACUCUGACACAACCCUCCAGUUAUGACGUACCCUUCACCAAACUGUUCAGCUGAAAUCACCAAUGGAUAUGUUGCUUAGAGCCCACUGUGGUUUCAGCCUUCCUGGUGGGAGAUUCUUUAUGACAUAUGAUGAAGCUCUUUUUAGAUUAUUUCAUUGACCCUCCCAUGCCUUACCAAGUUCUCACCAAGUCUUUUUUCCUAGUACAGAUGAGUAAAAUAAAAUAGUCUUUUCUCAAGCUCCUGAGUUGUGGAGAAGAUGGUCAUCUUGGUACAUUUGCUUUACGUUAGGAAAGCAAGAAGAAGACUAUGGCCAAGGCACGUCUUUUGUUCUUCUGCUCUGCUGUUUCUUCCGUCUGGUAGCGCUGCCUUUUUCAUCUUGCUUCCUCUGAGAUACAUUUGAUUCCCUUUAAAAUAUGGCCAUGUCUUUGAAGAGACACUGCUCGCUUCUCAUUUGAUGUCAUCUGAAAAGCAGGGUUUAAUGGCUGGUGAUGUUCAUGUCAAAUGGCUACACCUGCAAUGUAUUUAGCUGCUUGAGGAGUGGCAGGAGAAGAUAGGUCCUUCAAAUCUAUGAGCAUUGGCAGCCAAAAGUGCAGCCAGAAGUUCUCUCCCAAGCUGUGUUCUGGCUGUGUUAUCAUGGCAGGAUCUCAUUUAGGCUGGUUUUGUAGGCACUGUGUUGGACAUUGUAAGAAUUCCUGGCCAUUUUAGUUCUUUCAUAAUUUGUCUUAGCAGCAGUAAUGCAAACUGUUAGCACAUACCUUAUUUACUCUUCUUUACCAAGGUACAUUUGGUCUCGAUCUCCACAAUGGUUAUUCAGCUCUCUGUACCUCAAACAUGUGAGGCAAGAUGUUGGUAUUCAGUCAUUCUCCCACAGUAAUUUUAUUUUUUCCCCUUUCUCUUUAGCAAGGACUGAGUCAUCUCCCACAAAGCUUCAAUGGGAAUCUAGGGAGUUUACAGGCUUUCACUGAGUCUCCAUUAGAAAUAGCAUCUCCUCCUUGUAAAUGGUUCUUGGUCCUUUAGCUUUCCUUCUGUUCUAUAAUGGCCUGACUGCUUUGUGAGGAAAAAGAUGCAAAAAAUGGAUCGCUUUGCACUCUUAUUUGCACAUUAGAGCUUUCAAACAAUCUCGUUUUCAUCUUCUGACCCAGUUCAGAGUUUCAGUGGAGAAGCGUCAUCUGGUGAAACUCAAGAAAUCACUUUCAGUCCUGAUGUUCUAUCUGGACUGGAUUAUACUUGUGAAUCUAAAUAAGUUUCCAUUGGUGGUAGAACAGCUUUAAAGAAUGAAGACCAACUUGUCUAUGGGGCUAUGUAAGGUUCUUCAGCACUUCUUCCAGAUUUUUUACUGCAAAGCAUAAAAACAAUUCAAAGGUUUGGACUGUGAUGUCUGCUACCUUACAAUUCGAGAGGAAAUCUUUCAGUGUACCCACCUCUUUUACAUGAAACAGACAUCCUUUUGCGAUCAUUUGUCCUCAUCUUCAAAAGAGGUUUUAGUAGAAUAACAUCAAAUAUCCAGUGCUGAGAUGUUCCAUAAAGCACAGAUCUUGCAGACGUCUUUGUGGAUGUCUUGCUGGAACCAGGAUGCUGUGAGCUGCUUUAGCAGGCGGUGUCCUUGCACGACCCAAUGGACAAGAUACAUUCAUUUCACAAAACCAUUGCCUAAGAUGAAAAUCAAAGGCUGCACGCAGGUGACCAACCUUGGAAAACAGUCUACAGGUAUUUUUAGGUGAGAGAAACUGUUCUGAGAGCUGCCUUGGAAAAGGAACUGAGUUUUUCGGCAUGAAAUGAAGGAACAAAGAAGAGAGCUGUUACUUCAAGAUGGACUGAUAACCUCAAGGUGGGAUAGGAUGACACUGAAAUGUGUCUGUACUUUGGAAAAUCCAAAACUUAACAACUUUCUAAGAGCUGGUAAGAUUCACUUUAUCUGACUAAGAUAACUAAAAAGUUAACUCUCCAAAUUUAAGCUAGUGUUGCUCAACUUUCUUUUUGUUUCUUGGAGAAUACUCCUAUCAGUGAUACCUAAAAAGAGAUUUAUUGGUCUCUGGAAAUAACAUUUUUCUUUCCACUGACUAAGAAAGGAGCCAAGGGUGAUUUUUCCAGUGUGAUGUGGAUGUAGGAGGCCAUUUUCACUAAUCAUGAAGAAAAUUCUUCUCUGUAGGAAUGGGGCAACAUUUCUGCUGUCCAUCUUCUAUCCAUCAUUCAUCAGAGAAGUUCACACAUUAACAUCCAAGGGGCAAAAUCACCAUACAAGGCAGAGGUCUUCAGCAUUACCUAGAAUGACAAAGCCUCUUCUUCUCAACUAGCGUCACAGUCUCACGUCCCAAGGCUUUAUGUAGUCCAGUUUUAAGCAAUUAAAAAAGUCUCCAUAGACUUAUCAGCCUUUUUGGGUUAGGCUUGCAAUUCACAGUCUUGCUGUUGCUUAGAAUUUGGGAGGAGCAGUGCUGUUUCUUUUGCAAGGCACAUGCCUUCGUACUUCGGCAGCUUUUUCUGGUGAUUGAUCAUGCAUCAAGAGGAAUGCCUCAUUUAAUUAAAAGCCCCCAAGCGAAAGAGCGCUGUGAUGGGAAUGUGUCUCAUCCUCAAACCUUCCUCCUGCAUCGGCAUUGUUCCUGACUAGGGGUUUUGUCAAGUUUCUUACUUUUCUAAGAGCCAGAUCGAUACAAGCUCUCCCAGCGCUUGGUAGAUUUCAUCAGCAUUGGCAAACUCUUUUCAAGAAGAAAGUAGCUUUUCAAAAAGAAGGUAACCAACAUGUGCAUGACCUCCUCAGAGGGGUUAGGAAUAGACUGAAGGGCCAGAGGAGAGAGACAGGGAUGGAAGACCUUUGAGAAAUUAUUUGUCUUUAUCUCCAGCUGAGCUCAUAAUGUUCCUUAGCCUCCGGCUGGGACUUCAUUUAGCUGAGGAGUGCAGAUGUAAUUUUCAAAAUAUGAGUGUUUUUUUUCUUUUAAUAUAAAAUGUACCCUCUGAGUAAUUCUGCAGCCUUUCCCACCUGACAAUACUGUAACUAACCUCGCCAUUAGGAGCAGGGAGAAAACUUGAAAGAAGGAUUAAUCCUACUCAGCUUUCACUCCCUAAAAAUUGAAGUGCCUUGCCUAACCUCUUUAGAUCUUCUUCCUCUACCAUCAGCAGAAGGAGACAGGCACGCUUGAAGAGGAGUUCAACCCACAUAUCUCACACCACUUCUUUGGGUCGAACUUUCUCACAUCUAACUUAAAGUGAGAUAGGAUUAAUUGUAUUUUUGAGUAAGGCCAAUGUGAAAUGGAAAUCACAGAAUCAAGAGCUAAAUAAAUUCUUCAAAUGCUGUUCAAAGGACAGGGACGUUUCUGCUCAAAGCUUGCAUUUUAGUUUGUUACAGAGUCCUUGGACAUCUCUUCUUGGAGCUAUGAUUUCACCUGCAGCCUUAGAACUUUCUGACCAUCUUCUGAUUUCUAUGUUUUCUUGUUUAGAUAAGUCUGGUUGGUUUUAAAUUAAGAUCAACAUGCUUGAUUAAAUCAGGAAGUCUUUAUUGUUUCUAUUACGCUACUACUAUGUUUUUGCUGUUUUAAAGCUUGUUUAACUCAGAAAUGCCAGAGCUGCUGAACGCUGCUAAACAUAGGCAGAAUAAAAAAUAUUGAGUUGUAAUUGAAAACAACUGCAGAGCUAUGGCUAGAACAUCCUCCAGUUACAUUUCGUUUUCUUGUAAAUCUCUUGUUCUCCUUUCAGUGGCAGCUAGAGAUAAUUCCAGCCCCAGGAGUGUGUGCACAAACCAAGCUGGUGUGCAACACUGGACACCUUCAUUCAGCAAGCAGUGCAGGGACAAUGAUUUGGACAGGAGAAUAAUCUUUCAGGAAGCUGUGUGUAACCUCUUGUGGAUUUUGGUUUCAGUAGAUGUCGGUUGAAUAUUGAACCUGGUCCUCUUUGUCAUAAGCAAUGUAAGCAGAUGGGUGCUCUAGUCCAGUGUAGCUGUCAAGAUCCACAUUGCAGUCCACAGGAAAAGGCUGGUCCUUCUGGGAAGUGAUCCAUCUUAUAUCUGUCUUAGGAUGGAAGGAGGAAUCCUUGACAACCCCAUACACAUUUAACUUCUGGCUGGCUAAAUAUCUGUGCAGUGAAAAUAGUAAGACUUCAUUAUCUAUUCUGUGGAAUUUCUGCUGUGCUACCUGCUCACCCUUUAAAAUGAUUCUUCCAACUUUAACCACAUCUGAUUCAUGGAAGUGACUAUUGGCUUGAGAGAACAUCUUGGCACUUUGAUCUAGUCCUGAUUUCACCUGAGCUUUGUUUUUUGUUGAUUUGCUUUGGUUUAAUAGGCAACACUUUGUCUUGCCCUCCUGAUAGUUGGGGAUGGAGAGACUUAUCUCACCUAAUCUUAAAUCAAUGGAAGUGGCUUCUUCACCUGAACUUGCUGUAUAUACUCCUGCUGCAGCACUGUCAGACUGUGAGACAUCACAUUUGGUCACUUUCAUGAUAGGAAGAAGAAUCACAUUUCAGAAGAGACCAUUUCUGUCUGCUGAUUGCAUAAUAAGCAGAGUUUAGCAUCAGGUUGGUGAUGGUAGAUAUCUGACCAGCAGCGAGGUGGCAGGAUGGCUGUCUCUAAUCUUCAGACAUCUUGCAUUAUGUUGUUUCACUCUUCCCUACCAUGUCUGGUGGGGUUUGGUGGCCUCUGCCAGUGGUUCCUGCCAGGUGGUGCAUCCACCAGAAGCUUGCCCAAGGGCUUAGCCUUCGGUUUUUGUGUAAACAAAGUGGAGAAUGCUGCUUAAAUACUGCAGAGGAAGAAAACUUGUUAGCAGGGAUUUAUUUCCAGAGGAAGCCAGGAGAAUUAUCUAUACCUUUUAACAGCAAUGAAGGAGCUGUAGGGUCUUCUUCCAUAUCCAUUAAGUUGUAUGUGUGUGUCUAGGGCAUGUGUACAGGCAGAAACAAAUACGUGUGGACAGGGAAGAUAUACAUUGGCAGUGAACUACAGUGAGGAUUCUUCUCCAAGUGCUGGGACGUUUUGUUCUCCUUUCGGAGUGGAAUCUGUGGGACCUCAGUUGCAUGCAUCCAACCCACGAAGACAGGGCAGUCUGUUGCGUUGGUGUAAUUCUGGGUAAUCACCACUGAAUUAACGUGUUGAGCUUGGUUUCACCCCUGUGAUGUCCUGAGUUGCCUCCUUUGUGGUAGGAGGGGUACGAGUAGAGCAUCUUCCUUGAGCUAGUCCCUCACAGUGAGGUACCGCCAGGGCUGCAGACAUUUGCAUCUCACCUUAAAAUUACUUGAAGGAAAAAGCCCCUUCCAAAUAUAUCUGUGGCUUGGAAUCAUGGGGCCAACACAGAUGAUCCUGCUGCAGGGAACCUGUCCAAACAAAAUGUAGAUCGAUUCUAACAUCACCUUUAAAUGCACAACCUGAGAUCCCAGCUGUGGGAGGUGGAACAGCAGUCUGCCUGGGCAGAGGCAGCAGGGUGAGAGCCCAACCCCUGUGAGCCCCCGGAGCUCAGUGGGGUCACAGAAUGCCGUGACUCAAACACACAGUCGUGUCCCUCAUCCAAUGGUUUUUAUGUUUAAAUUGUCGGGAUUUCGACAAAUGUUUCAUGCUUUUAUUAAGGCAAAAGUACGUGCUUGUGAAAUUGUGAAAUUGAUGUGUUCUUUUGUAUCUGUUUAAAAAAAAAACAUGUACUUAAAGCUAACGAGCCGUUAUUGUGCGGGGUUUUCUCUCAAACUGGUGCAUACACUUUACAUCAGGGACCUACUAUACAUAACAAAAAUCAGUGAUUCAGUUACUGUAAAACCAGAUACACACCUUUUACUGUAAUAAUAACUUUUAAAACCUUGCACUGUAAUGGUUGCUAUUAAAAACAAUCAAUCAAAAAAAGAAAAAACUACAAAAAAAAAAAAACUUGUCAGAAUGAUUUUGUAUCUUUGAUUAUAUCUGAAAUUUUAGCAUUUUUGUAUACUUACCAUAUCCACAACAGCAUCCUCCACAGUUAGUUCCCAGGUUCUGUUUCCUUUCUGUCUCACAAAACACACGCAUUGCUACAGGAUGUGGAUGGGCAGGGUAUGGCCAUGGGAACCAUGUAGGUCACCCCAAGCUCUUGUCACAUACACCCAACCAAGCUAAGUAGGAGGAAAAGCCACGACCCCAAGCCCUUCUGAUGGUGUCAGAUCCCCUCAGCAGUCCCAGCUGCUCCGAGUGUCCGACCAACAGAACCAGGGAGUGAUGUCCGAGCCUUUAUGCCGGUGUUGCUGUGGCCGCCUUGGCUGUCCAGUUCCAUCACACAGCAAUGCGUUGCCAGUAGGUAGGAAAUCCCAACCAACAAGAUAACUUUGCAAUCUCUACGUUUGUUGAUUGAUUUGUUUUUGUUUUUAAUUUUUAAAAAAUAAGAUGUAUUUGGAAUCAGACAGCAUGGUGUUGCAAUCCUUUCUAUUUUUAAAUACUGAUACAUUCUGUGUGUAAAAGUCUUGUUUCCUAGCUAAGAGAACCAUACAUGUGGAGCUGAGUUUGAACCAUUUUUUUUCCUUGUUGUACUGUGAUUUGGGAAUUAUUUUGAUAUAAUCCUUUAAUUUGGUAGAUUUCCCACACCUUCUCCCUCCUUCCUGUCAUCACUUCAUAUUUUUUACAAAAGAAAAAAGAAAACAAACAAAGGAACAAAUAAUCUUUUUUUCUCUCUUUAGGCUGUGUAAUGUUGUGUUGUCCAGAUUCUGUAUAAAAAUAUGUAUAUGAUGUAUCUGAUAUUUGGCAGCAAACAGCUGCAACUUUAACCAAUAUAAUUAACAAAGAAAUGCAUAAUGUUGGUGUUUUAAAAAGUAAAAAAAAAAAAAAAAAAAAAAAAAAAAACCUAGUUAAGAUGUUUGUGUAAACUUGCAUGGUUUAAAAUGUACUUAGUGCAUUGAGAAAUGUUGUUAGGGUCCUAAGUGAAAGGCUGGUUUACUUUUUGAUUCUAAUGGUGAUUGGUUUGUUGAUCAGAAUAUCCCCUAUACUGUAUGUCUUAGUUUAUUUAGCAUAUUUAUUUAUUUUUUUCUCAAGAUCUAGCAUAGUGUAUCUAUCUAUAUGUAAUACUGUUCCUUAAAACCAGGUUGUGGAAACUGCGUUUCGUCCGGCAAAAUGAUGUUUUGCAUCACGGUUGUGAUUCAGUUGCAUUCCAUUUAAUUUGCUCUGAAGUCCAGGUUUGACUUUCCAUUGGGAUCUCUCUUGCCAGUGGGGAGAUGCUCACGGCUGGGCUGCCGGACCCUGGGACAAGGUUGAGCCGAGGGCCCGGCUCCUGUCCUACAGCAGAACAUCAACAUCAGGCCCGGUGGUCUCGGAUAAUGGUGGGCUACAAGAGCAGGAUUUGGUCCCUCCAUAGCGAGCGAAAGUUGGGUUUUUCCUCUCGGCAGCACAAGUUUUAUCAGGAUCACAGCAGGCUCCCUGGGGUUUCUCCCAGCUCUCCAUUGGAUGAUUAUGGCUUUUAGCAGCAUCGCUGAAACAAGAGCAGUGAAGUGGGGACGAUCAUCCCAUGAAGAACAUAAUGAAGCUGUUCAGCAAUAAGCUCCCUACUUCCAGAAGCACAAACCCACCGUGUUCCAGAGGAGCUCAUUUGGAGCCCAGCCCUGCAGGUGUGGGAAGCAUACAAGCAAAGGACAUGGUUCCAUUUCACUUGACUUCUCAUUGGUUUGCUCCAGGCUUUGCUUCUGCUGAACUGCCAGAAAGGGAACAUUUCCAAGUGACACCAUCAAAGCUGCAGUGCCCAUGAACAGUUCCUGGGACUGACCUCCCUGCACAGGUCAAUGUGGAGACAUUUGUGUUUCUAAUACUUGACAAACCUCCAGUGGCCUUCCCCCAGGGUAACGCAGAGCUAAAUGUAGAUACAUAGAGCUACCAGUUUUCUUAGUGCUCUUCAACCCAGAGAGUUUCAAAGGGCUUUUCCAGCAGGACACGAUGUGACUCAUGCUGCCUAUCCAUGGCAGAGCACUGUUAUCACAGCCACCUCUGGGGUGACCUCACUCCGUAUCUGCUCGUGGCACCAUCAGAAUGCGAUCAUCUGAUGCAAGAAGUGUGGGUUGCACCUUGGGGGAACCUAGCAAAGUAUAACAUGUCCAAAUUCCAGUGAAGUGAGCAUCAAGAGCAGUUUGACUCAUUGCUUUUUCCCUUUCUGAGCAGUUCCUCUCAUUUUGUCCAUCCUUACAGGGCUGGGCAGUGAGAUGUCCAGGUAGAUUAAGCAUCUGCACUUUGCUUUCACCAGCCUUUUCUUUUCUAAGAGCUUAUAAGGUAGUCCUUUCUAGUCCUUAGCAGGAGAAUAGGGAACAAGAAUCUUUCUCUCUGCUCCAGAAACAGGGCAAGCAGGCUCCUUUAUGCAAAGUUAUGGCCGAAUUAUUUUCUCUCAAUCUUCUCUGAUCUCCACCACUUCUUUUAAACCAUGUCUGCACUCUGAUUUUGCUGCUUGAUGGUCUAACCAGUUUCCAUCUGGAAAUAAACAACCAGCCUGACUUAGACGCUGUCAAGAAUCCUCACCUGGCGUGCAGUUACGUGUCCUGUCCUGCAGCCACAUCAUACAACACAAUGGAUGUGGCCUCAACAGUGAAGACAGAUCCUGAGAUUUGUUGCAGGAUCGGUUCCAUCCAUGUAAAGCUGCUUGUGGUAGGUAUCUCCCCAGCUCAGCAAGCAGAAGUGAUCUGCUUCUCUUUUGCUUUGCUCCAUACCCAAGGGUUUCUGCAGUAAAACCAGUGCCCAAUCACAGUUCUCUGGUGAGAAGGAAAUCACCUGGUGGAUGUUUCAUGGCAUGGUGCUCAAUGGAUUUUUUGUCUUCAAGGAUCCAAUCAGUGCAGAGUCCUAUAUCUUUACAUAGAAAAGUUCCUGCUGAAAUCAAGUUUUGCUUUCUAAGGCUGCAAGAUCUGUUACUUCAGAUCCCUCAAGGAUGUACGUGGAGCAUCCUCUGAUAGAGGACAUCAGUAGCCAGUUCCUUGAAAGGGCCUUUUCUAGACAUUAGGAUUUUGCUUCUGCAAAGCUGACCUUCUCUGUCUUCAACAUGACUGGAAAAAGGGUCUGUUCCCUGUAAGGAAAGACCUUGGUUGCUGGAAAUCAUCUUAUGUCUUUUGGAAGAAUGCUCAUGGUGUCACCUCACCUCACAUCUGUUUGCCUCUUCUUGGCUCUACGUGCACUGGGGAAAGCUAGAUUUUUGAGCAGUAUUCCACAGACUGCCUCCAGUGGUCAAUUUCUCUCCCCUGUCUCACAGCUAGCAUGCAAAUGUUUUAAUUUGAGCAAUUAACCAUACAGCUGGUGUAAAUUAUCAGAGUCCUACUGCAAUAACUGGAGCCAUUCUGACACACACCAGCCAAGGGCAUGGCACAGCUCUUCACCAGCUGUCAGAGAGAUCUGCAUCUCCUCAUUGCCACCAAGCCUUGCUCUGCUCAAUGGGAGCAUGUUCUGGGGUUAGACAAGAACUCUCUUCAAAAGCAUUGCAGUGGUUUACAAGCUGAGUAACUUGUUUUGCUCAUCCGCUAGCCUCAUCAGCAAUACAUUGGAUACAUCUCUCUGUAUAGACAGACUUUCUCCUUCUCUAAGAAGGCCCAUAAAUAACUUUAAUUUCCAUCCUUGAAACCAAGUAAAGAUAAAAACAAAACUAAACUAAAUGAACAACAACAACAACAAAAAAACAACAACAACAAAGCAAAACCCAAACCUUAUGCCCUGAGAUUAUUCCACAAAGCCCAGGCAAGGCUGAGACUGUGCAGGUCAGAGCUAUGGUUUUAUGCAGGACUUUACAAGACUGUUUUAUAUCCAACGCAAUAAAGAAUAACCAACUUAUUGUAGCAAACCUUGUGCCAGGUGCUAUCUCACAGAACCUUCUGCAUCAGACAGUCUGCCCUGUAUUCUCUCUGCCUAGGGACACUUUGCAGAAUUUUGGAAGGGAAGAUCCCCCUUUUGCCUCUUUGCAAACAAAGGCAGGUUGCAAAAGGGGAAAACUGUAUGGCUUUAAGUGUGUUUUUUUCCUUUUCCUUCUCUCUUCCUUUUUUUUUUUUUUCCUGCCCUUCCUUCCUUCCUCCCUUCCUUCUCCCCACCUCUUUCCUCUUUUUCUCUGCCCCUUUCCCUUCCUCCCUCUCUCCCAUCUCUCUUUUUCUUUUUUUCUCUUUUACUCUCCUUCUUUCUUAUGAGCUGAGGAAUAGCCUCACUGGGAACCACUUGGAUCUGCAAAACCAAAUCCCAUUGGUCUCUCCAUCAGAAUUUCCAUGCUGAUUUGAGGGACACCCAAAGGAUACCCGUUUGGAGCUCUUUCUGUUGUGCUCUCGUUCAUGUUCUUUGACUUGGUUUCUGACAAUUCUGACCUCUUCUGGAUAAUCUCUUUCCUUGCUGUCAUGUUCAAUGUCUUCCUUUGACCUUUAACAAGCCAAACUUAAACUAGGAAAAUAGGUGUUAAUUCUUUCUGCUGUCUCAUGAGCUCAUCAGUCAUUCUUUCUCACCUUCCAGCAGACGUGUCUUCUUUAUCACAGAGGAAAUGCUACUCAGAGCAAGAGACUGGUGUUGAGGAUCCCAGGAUCCUCAGCUUAGCUUUUCCUUUCGCUUGCUCUCUACUUCUUCUAUGUGUGCCUCUGUUUACCCACCCAGGUAUAAUAAUAUCUACCUCACAGGGGUGUUGUGAGGCUCUGUUCUUGAGAUCCUUGUCUGGAAGGUGGAGGAGAAAUGAUCUGGUUCAUUCAGUAUCUCAUUGGCAUUCCAUGAUCAAAUAUUUUCCUAUACCAUCAGUGUUGGCAGAAGUAAACCAUGACACAAGUUUUAUUCCUUGCUUUUAUCUAUUGUCAAGGUUUGGGCCAUUUGUAAAACCUCCACAAAGGCAAAGCUGAACAUGGCACAUGGAGGAGAUCAGCAUGAUAGGAGAAGUUCUGCUCUUGUUCUUCUUAUUCCUCCAUUGGCUGAAAAUCACACAGUUGAAAGGUUUAUUGCCCUGCUGUCCCAGCAUUCCAACAACCCCAUAAUUAAUCUGUUUGCUGCUACAAACACUUUCUGGACUGUAGAAUCUCACAGGAGACACUGAAAAUCAUGCAAGUGCACAUUUGGGCUGCAUGUUAGAUUGCCAAUACUUUUCAUGACACAGUUCAGGCUGUCCUACAGCACCAUGGCAAUGUGCACGUGGUUGAUAUUUGUAAGGGUGAGCAGAGAAAACUCAUUUACAAAUCAUUUCUUUGCUCUGCUAGGAGUUUAGUACCUUGAUGCACGUAGACAACUCUGCUUGACCAUACAUACUUCAGUCAAAGGAUUCAGGUUCUAGCAUGAAUGAUUCAUGAUAUUAUUCCCAGCAACUGGCAGAGGAAGAGAGAAAAAUGUCACUUUCCUACCUUACCCCAUAGUCAGCAGAUGCUAUUCCGUCCCCAACUCUGUCUUAACCACAAUGGAUGGCAAACAGAAUGAAAGCCGUUCUGCCAAAGUACAGGAAUUUCUGCUGCUUCCUUCAAGAAAGGACUUGUUGAGACGACCUUUUGGAUGCUGACAGAAGGAUUGGAUUGGGCUACGAAAAGGUAAUAAAUAAAUAAAUAAAUGUGCACAUAAUCCUCCCAGCGAAGGAAAAGGAGCUCACGGGAAUCAUUCUUGUUCACCAUGUGCAUCUGGUUAAGGGAAAGCAGCAGGAUGAGUUGCCUCCUUUCAUCCACACAGGUACAGGGACCUUCUUGGAGCAACUUGGAAGAGGUCCCCCUUACUAGAAAGCAGCACUCAGAGAAUUUCUGCUGCCUUUGCCUUUGAAAACAGUGCUGUUUUCUACAAUACAGACAGAGAAAGCUUUAGCUGGGAUGAAUCAUGUUUUCUGCGCUCAUGGGCUGAAUAGGAAAGAGUGGGUCCAUCCCUUAAGAAUUUUGGUGAGUUUGACGUGGAAACAUCAAGGCUAUCAGCAAACAGAAAACAAAAAUAGGCAAAACAAUGCAUGUGCUGAUUAAAACAGUUUGUAUCCUACUUUUUUUUAAUUAAUUAUCCUGCAUUUUGAAAUGAUAAGUGAAAAAACUUGAAUGAAGGUAUUAAAGAUAUCAAAGAGCCUCAAGUCACAUCCUUCAUUUCCCCAUGGCUGUGAUAUAUUUCAAGAAGUAACAUCUUGAAACUUUCAUUUCCUAAGACGUUUUAACUGUGACAUGCUGACUUCUUGAGGAGGAUGAAAACAAGUCUUCAAAACAAAUCACGUCCCCUUGACCCUUUAUCCUACAUGGCACAAACUUUACAACCUUUUCCCUCUUGGAAGUGGGAUUGGCUUCAGUGUAGGAGCCCUGUGUCUGCAGCACUGUAUGGAGCCUCACAAGUCAUUCCACUUAGAUGGGAAUGACCAGGAACACAACGCAACUUGAUCCCAUUGAGCCUACAGAGCAUCAAGGAAAGCUGGCACUGUCUUGGAUCCCACCUGCCCUUCCACUGAGCUAAUGUGGGGCUAUUCUUCCUUUCUGAGGUGAUAGAGUCUUCUACAGCCUUUCAAACCAUCAAACAAAGAGGAGCCACUCUUCUGAUUGUGCAGUUUAACUUGUUGGCAGCAAUACACCCACAGGAGCUGCUCCAGGCAUUGAGCUUUAUCUAGAGAUUGGCAGGAAGGCUCUUGUUCAUUUUAUUUUUCAUAUAACUGCAUUUAUUUUCCCCUUUUUGGUGAAACUUGAGUUGUUCCUGGAAUAUUGAGCUUUGGGAAAAGCCACCAUCGUCCACGCUCCCAUGUCCUGCCCCACACAGCAGCCUAUCCAUUGCCCCAGGAUGAUAAGCACACAGGAGAGGUUAGAGGGACCAUAACAGCCCAUGGCUAUUGCAACAAAGAAGAAAUAAGCACACUGUUGAAACUAAAGCACACAAACAAGCCUGCUCCAUGAUCCUGAUAAAAUCCGCUGCCUGGGAGUAAAUUCCCUAUGGCCUCUUCUAAGAGGUCCUGAGCCCACAUUCACAUCCCCUCCUCCCUUUCUGCUCUGCAAUUUCACAUUGAGACAUCGUCCCCUACUCUCAGGCCAGGCUCUCACUGCAGAGUUUUGCUCUGUGCAGCUCUGUAUUCACCGCAAAUGACGACGACAUCUCUGCAGAAGGCCCCCGAGUGCCAAGAUGCAUCUUUCCUGCAAAAACCCCUAGGAUACAAAGGGGAGCCCGAAAUAAUGAUUUAUGCCAGCAAACAGGUCCAGGAGUUCUGUGUUAGGUGCGGACCUUUGCUGGGGUAGCUGACAAGGUGGAUUAUACCCGCAAAUGUCCUUUGUUAGAGCUGGCCAACACGCCCAAAACGCUUUGCUUCAGAUCUGGACUCGUGCACUUGCCUCUUCCCCGUCCCAUUUCUACACUUUGGUUUCCGAGCUGUUUUUUGCACUGUCAGGAAUUUUUUAAACCGUGUUAAUUGUAGUCAGCUGCAUAAUGUUUGUUAGGCCUCUCCACCAAGCUCUUUAAAUGAAAGUCAGUGGCUGUCUUCCCUUGGACAAUAAUGAAUGUAUAUAUCGUAAGUGCAGACUAUACAGAAAAGUGGCUAAGUCAAGGAUCAGAGGGUUUUGUAAAGCCUGUUUAUUUUUUUAACUAAGUUUGAGCAUUUAUAUUUUACCACCAUUUACGUGGUUUUGGGGAACCCAGAUUGUGUCAAGAUCUCAUGCCAAAACAAGCCAAAAGUUGUUUGAUUUCAACCUUUUCUUCCAUGAACCAUAUUUUAAAUGAUACUUUAAAUGUCAUUUUAAAUGUUUUAUUGAAACAUGUACUGAUGAAAAAAAAAAUACAAAAAACAAAAAACAAAAUGUCAUCUUGACAAAAGAUUUAUACAUGAAUCAGAAAGUAUUUAUUUCAAUUUUGUACCUUUCCAUUUUAAUACAUUAUAAUGUAUUGACUCAACUGAGAUAAUAUAAACAGUUCAUUUUAAUAACA
ensembl:lncRNA